rnacentral:rRNA from 1 species
UGCGGGGGGAGCAAGCGUUGUUCGGAUUUACUGGGCGUAAAGGGCGCGUAGGCGGCCACGACAAGUCACUUGUGAAAUCUCCGGGCUUAACUCGGAACGGUCAAGUGAUACUGUCGGGCUAGAGUGCAGAAGGGGCAACUGGAAUUCUCGGUGUAGCGGUGAAAUGCGUAGAUAUCGAGAGGAACACCUGCGGCGAAGGCGGGUUGCUGGGCUGACACUGACGCUGAGGCGCGAAAGCCAGGGGAGCGAACGGG